rnacentral:lncRNA from 1 species
GCCUCUCACCCUCAUGCUCUCGUCCUCGCCCUUGCCCUCACCCACGCACCCCCCACUUUCCUCGCCUUCGACCCCGUUGAGGUCGCACCGCGACUUUUUUUUCUUUUCUUUUCUUUUCUUUUCUUCUCUGACUCUCCUCCACCGUUUCCGACGACGACGCCUCUCUCGCCCUUUCCCGCCCUUCUCCUCCUCUCCCUCUCCCUCCUCCUCUGCCGCCUCCGACGACGAUGCAUCUUCGCCGACGCCGACGCCGACGUCGACGUCGACGCCGACACCGUGGAGGUCACUGCGGCGCUCCAGCCUCGGAGCGGGGGGUCCUUAGCGGCGUCGUCGCCGUCGCCGUGGCUGUUGGCAGAGAGGGUGACCAAAAAAAAUUAUAGAAGAAACAGAAAAAAAAAGAUAAAAAAUUAUAUAAAAAGGAGGAUGAAGAUGAAAUUGCAUCGUUAACUGCAAAAGAAAUUAU